CGUGUAGGCGGUCUGUUAAGUCAUGUGUGAAAUCCCUCGGCUCAACCGGGGAACGACGCAUGAAACCGACAAGCUAGAGUACCAAAGAGGGGGGUGGAAUUCCCGGUGUAGCGGUGAAAUGCGUAGAUAUCUGGAGGAACACCGGUGGCGAAGGCGGCGUCCUGGACCAACACUGACACUGAUGAGCGAAAGCCAGGGGAAGGCAAACG
rnacentral:rRNA from 1 species